UGCCAUGAAUUCAGGAGAUGAAAUAUUGCUGUUUCCUAUUUAGAGAAUGAGGCUAAUCUCCCAGAGGUGAGCUGGUUUUUUCAAGUUCACACGGCUUGGCUUGGUGAUGGUGGUAGAAUCACAGUCACAGUUCAGGUUUCUGACUCGUGGAGCAAUCACAGUGGCUUCUCUGCUUAGUUACAAGUCUCAUGGGGAACAUUGCAAUUGGCCUGUCAGAGAUUCUGUUUUCAUCAGCCACAAUGCAGCCAAUAAAUCUCAAAGAUCAUUGCACUUUCACGGGUUACUAGAUUUGGAAUAAAACCAAAGUUACAAGUGACAGUUUGAAGGAAUUUUCAAUCACAAAAUGCAAAGUGUGUUGCACUCCAGCCACCCUGGAUGAGUUAUUGGCCAGUUUAUUGAUCAUGUUGGGUAAUCACUGUAAUCCCCAGAGCUGUCAGAUGGAGACAUGUGUAAUGGAGCACAUGUAAUUCCCAAUAAAAGCAGAAGUCCAUGAAAGGAAGUUUUCCUUGUGAGUAACACACUCUCCUUAGAAAGUCUCAAAUUCCCAUUAGAUCAAAACAUACAGCUGUUUUCUCUCCAAAUAUAUCUUUGAAUUUUUCUUUUAUCUCAAAUAUGUCCAGCAACCAGAGAAGGACAUGGAUUGCUCUACAGUUCCAAGCUCUGCACAGUAAGAUUUGAAUACACGAAAAAUAACCCCAUAUAAUUCUAUUCCCUUGCUUUAUGCCUCACCAGCCAGGUGACUUGGACAAGACUUUCAUCUGAGCACCAAUUUUCACAUUCUGUCUAAGGGCAGAUAAUGCUUAUAUAUGGAACAGUGUUGGUCUUCCAAUCCAAGUCUUUCUAAGAAAUGAAGAAAUGUGUACAGCUGGAAUCCUGUCUGCAACAACAUUUCCUCAUCUCCAGGCAAACUGGGUUACUCCUCACCCCUCUCUGGUCACGCUGCCUGACUGUGGCCUCAGCCCUGAACCAUCCAGAUUCUUGCAUGUUGCUGCUUGCAGCACACUCAGGCCAUUGAACUGCAAGUCACUGCUGCUGCCAGGACACUCUGAACAAGCAGGCAGAUAGAGGAAUCACCUGAAGGCCGAGAGGAGCUACCCACCGCGGCAGGAAGAAUAGGGCGGAACUCAGGUGAUCCGCGGAGGCACCUGGGCAUCCUCUCUUGCCAUUGGAGUAGUGAGCAGAUAUAGGAGGCAGCCUUGAACUGAGAAGGAGGGACUGCCAAGCUGCAGCCUUCUCAGGAGUGAAGUUUGGCCAUACCACCAGCAAGCCAGCAGGUGAACAGAGGUGGUUGUUGAAGGAGAGGAGAAUGCAGAAUGCAGAGUCAAAGAAGGAGAUGAACGGCAGUGUUGGGGCCAUACCACCAGCUCUCCGCUGUCAGUUUCCCCCAGGGAGAAGGGGGCUUUAGGGGGCCAGUGCAGCUGCAUCUGUGCAGCAUAAGGAGUGAGCCAAGGAGCCUGGGGAGACGCCUCUCAGAGUUGUAAUUGUCCAGCACCCCACUGCUGACCUCUGAACCCCAUUGCUCCAAGCACCCCAGAUCACACUUCCUGGGUCUCCUCUACCCAUGAUGGAGCUUGGCAGGGACACUAAGGCAGGCCCACUCCCAGGAGAAGGGGGCCACUUUGAAUGCAUGGCUACGGCCUGGAGCCUCCUCAAUGACUUCUCAAAUUUUCACCAGCACUGCCCUGCCGUUUCACCCCAAAAUUCCUUCCUUCCCUCUCUCCUUCCCUUGUAAUCAGACCUGCGCCAUGGCCUGCCACCUCCCAGCCUCUCAGCUCUGCCCAUUCUCUCUCACAGGUGCUUCCCCAAAUAAUGUUCUUGCACAUGUUUUCCCACCUUGGUGCCUGAUUCUUGGAAGACUCAGACAAGCAUGUCCCUGUUUACCUUUCUGAUAGUGGUUUUCCAUACUUUUCCUCCCAUUUUCACCUAUUUCAUCGAAUUUAUUCAUCUUUACAAAGAGUCAACUUUUGGUUUUGUUGAUCCUCUCAAUUAAAUAUUUGUUUCUGUUUUAUAGUUCCUGCUCUUACCACUUUUAGUUCCUUUCUUUCAAAAUGAACCUUUUGAAGUUUAUUUUACUGUUCUCUUUCAAUAUUCU